UACGGAGGGUGCAAGCGUUAUCCGGAUUUACGGGGUUUAAAGGGUGCGUAGGCGGACUUUUAAGUCAGGGGUGAAAUCCCGGGGCUCAACCCCGGAACUGCCUUUGAUACUAUUGGUCUUGAAUGUUGUGGAGGUGGGCGGAACGGGUCAUGUAGCGGUGAAAUGCAUAGAUAUGUGGAGGAACACCGAUGGCGAAGGCAGCCCCCUGGGUUAACACUGACGCUCAUGCACGAAAGCGUGGGGAGCAAACAGG
rnacentral:rRNA from 1 species